AGAGCGAACGCUGGCGGCAGGCCUAACACAUGCAAGUCGAGCGCCGUAGCAAUACGGAGCGGCAGACGGGAGAGUAACACGUGGGAACGUACCCUUUGGUUCGGAACAACCCAGGGAAACUUGGGCUAAUACCGAAAUAAGCCCUUACGGGGAAAGAUUUAUCGCCGAAGGAUCGGCCCGCGUCUGAUUAGCUAGUUGGUGGGGUAACGGCCCACCAAGGCGACGAUCAGUAGCUGGUCUGAGAGGAUGAUCAGCCUCAUUGGGACUGAGACACGGCCCAAACUCCUACGGGAGGCAGCAGUGGGGAAUAUUGGACAAUGGGCGCAAGCCUGAUCCAGCCAUGCCGCGUGGGUGAUGAAGGCCCUAGGGUUGUAAAGCCCUUUCGGCGGGGAAGAUAAUGACGGUACCCGCAGAAGAAGCCCCGGCUAACUUCGCGCCAGCAGCCGC
rnacentral:rRNA from 1 species